GUGAGCAUGAGAAGGUAAAUAAUGAAUGUAAAUAAUGCUAGUAGCUAUGCUGGUCUUAGUUCUUAGUUGGUGGUAGUUGCAGCAUUAGUAGUAGUGGGAGUAAGUUUGCUUUGUUUUCUUUUGUGUAAAUAAAAGGCAGUUGCAACAUCGUUCUGAUGUUGUGGGUUGUGUCCUGUUGAGAGAGAUCUUCUCACUUUAGCAUAGAAAGGUUAGUUGUUUGAAUCGAAACUAUACUGCUAGAUUUUAAACGGUGGGUUUUCUUCUGGUUUUUUAGUUCAGAAUAGGAAAAGGGCAGACUCAAACCACAAACAAGUACUUAUAUAAGAUAUGAUUUGGACCCUGAAUUGUUGUCCAUGUCUGAUUAAGUUUGAUAGUGAAGUGCUAGAGGAAAAUGUGUCCUUGUCAGUUCAGGGUUGGUGGAUUCUGAGGGGAGAUUCUUGGAUAUCUCUGUUGGGUGGCCUUGUACACUGAAGCAGGAAUCCAUCUUCAGCCAAACAAAGCAAUUCGCAAAUCAAAGGCGUUACCAAAUGGACCUUGUUAUCAGCUUAGAGAAAGAGGAUUCCGUUGAAUUUUCCUCAUUUGUGAUAGUAAUCGGUUGUUUGCUGCAUAAUUUUCUAAUAAAGUAUAGGGAGCCAUUGCCAGAGGAGAGCCUCCUGAAUUCUAUGGGAGGCGGAACUGCCAAUUUCGAAGGUGAGGCAGAUAAGAGGGGAGAGGAACAGAUAUGCGCUUGCUAACCCUUGAGUAGGGUGAGCAUGAGAAGGUAAAUAAUGCUACUACCUAUGCUGGUCUUAGUUCUUAGUAAUUAGUAGUAGAACUGAGUUUGCUUUGCUUUUGUAUAAAUGAAAGAUAGUUGUUUGCUUGUUGCGUGGAUUAGCAAUCUGAUGUUUUGGAUUGCAUCUUGUUGAGAGAGAUUUUCACCUUAGGGAAGAAUGGUACCAACUUCAGCUUAGUAGAGAUUUUACAAAGAGAAAUGCAACUUCAUAUUAGCUGCUUUCCAUC